UACAGGAAAACCAGACAAAGUUACUUAUGGUGAAAACAUAGAAGUUACUACUGGAAGUUUGUUGGAACUGAACUUUUGGGGUGACACAAUACUUUGACUGGGUUUCCCAGGCUAUAAGGCUCAACAGAUUCCUAUGUUCCUAAAAUCUCAAAGAAUACAAACCAUAGAAAGUCAUGGCUAACUGACCUAUUUUAUCCUCUGAGAAUGAAGACAUCCAGCUAAGGAAUCUGAAGACCUUUGGACAAGUGAGACAUCUGAAGAACAAUGAAGAAUCAUCCAGAGAAAAUAUCCCAAGUAAAAGAGUAAAUUAAC